AUUGAACGCUGGCGGCAUGCCUUACACAUGCAAGUCGAACGGCAGCACGGGAGCAAUCCUGGUGGCGAGUGGCGAACGGGUGAGUAAUAUAUCGGAACGUGCCCAGUCGUGGGGGAUAACGCAGCGAAAGCUGUGCUAAUACCGCAUACGAUCUACGGAUGAAAGCGGGGGAUCGCAAGACCUCGCGCGAUUGGAGCGGCCGAUAUCAGAUUAGCUAGUUGGUGGGGUAAAAGCCCACCAAGGCGACGAUCUGUAGCUGGUCUGAGAGGACGACCAGCCACACUGGAACUGAGACACGGUCCAGACUCCUACGGGAGGCAGCAGUGGGGAAUUUUGGACAAUGGGCGCAAGCCUGAUCCAGCAAUGCCGCGUGCAGGAUGAAGGCCUUCGGGUUGUAAGCUGCUUUUGUACGGAACGAAACGGUCUGCCCUAAUACGGUGGGCUAAUGACGGUACCGUAAGAAUAAGCACCGGCUAACUACGUGCCAGCCGCCGCCGUAA
rnacentral:rRNA from 1 species